AACGAACGCUGGCGGCAGGCUUAACACAUGCAAGUCGAACGCUCGGAGCAAUCCGGGAGUGGCAGACGGGUGAGUAACACGUGGGAACGUACCCUUUGGUUCGGAAUAACUCUGGGAAACUAGAGCUAAUACCGGAUACGCCCUUUUGGGGAAAGGUUUACUGCCGAAGGAUCGGCCCGCGUCCGAUUAGCUUGUUGGUGGGGUAAUGGCCUACCAAGGCUUCGAUCGGUAGCUGGUCUGAGAGGAUGGCCAGCCACAUUGGGACUGAGACACGGCCCAAACUCCUACGGGAGGCAGCAGUGGGGAAUAUUGGACAAUGGGCGCAAGCCUGAUCCAGCCAUGCCGCGUGAGUGAUGAAGGCCUUAGGGUUGUAAAGCUCUUUUACCUGGGAAGAUCAUGACGGUACCAGGAGAAUAAGCCCCGGCUAACUUCGUGCCAGCCGCCGCCGUAACAC
rnacentral:rRNA from 1 species